ACGACCCAUAGUCUCUCUACUCCUACUCUGCAUAUGAAAUUCAAAACAAAGCAUCAAUCUACAUUAAGCUUGGGGGAAGGUUUCAAUGCAGGACCAUACAAAUUAGAAAUUACAAUACAAACGUCUCUGACUCGCAGUCUUGAGUUUAACAGUUAAAUGCCUCAGAUAUUUCAAUCCAAACUAUAAACUGAAAAGCGCAAACAGUUUUAGUUCCUCUCAAGAAUUGCCAUUGGAAGACUUUGUUGUAACAAGGAAAGCAUGGGUUCGAUUGAAAAGAAGGGGUUGCAGCAGUACUUGCUUCAGCAUCAUCGUCUCAGAACUAAGUGGGGUUUUGUCAGCGAUCAGUGACAUAGUGUCUCGGAAGCUCACCGGGAUUCAGAAACGUCAGUUAAGACGUCUGCUUCUCGAAGUGCUUUUUGGAGCUGUUUAUCUUGGACCAUUUGGGCAUUUCCUGCAUUUACUACUUGAUAAGAUUUUCAAGGGGAAGAAGGAUUCAAAAACAGUAGCCAAGAAGAUUAUAAUGUUAUUAGUCAAACAACUCUGAAAGUUUCGAAGAUAGUCAGCCUGAAAGAGGCAUGUUAGCAUGUGCACUUUGCUGCUUAUUGAGUGAAACACAGGAAGACCCUGGAUGCAUGUGAAGAAUAAAAUUAAGAAGUACUACCUGUCAGUGCAAUGCACAUCGUGGACGUCUGGCCUGUUCUGGGUUGGAUAAAUCACCAGUAUGUGCCACUCCAUCUCCGUGUCGUCUUCCACAGCUUGGUCGCUUUUGGCUGGGGAAUUUUCCUAAACUUACAAGCAAUAUAUGUGGCAUUACCAAAGGCUAAGUGAAGUGACAGAAAUCUUUCGACUGGACUCAGAUAAUUUGUGCUCCCUCCAAGUUACGUAAUAGUAGAUAUAUUAAGUCCUGGAUCCCCUUUUCAUGUAUGCUGGAUCUUGUGAACAGUAUUAUAAAUUUAAGCUAUGUUUAUUAUUUUUUUGGUAAG